UGUUUCACGGCGAAGUGUUUCCAGAAUUCUGAUUUGCAUUUUUUUCCUGGCAUCGGAUUGGCUAGAGAGCUGGGGAUAAAAAUCAUAAGAUACGUUUUAGGUUAACAAGAAAAGGAAGAUUGGUGCGGACGGUCCUACUUCCAUCACUAUCAUCGACUCUACUGGUGAUGAAUCACAGCACGAAAGUAAAUAAAGAUAAGAGAACCCCACUGGCAAACAUAUUACCGUAUGGAUGACAUCAAAACCCCCAACAAAACAAAAAGGAACCCCCAGGAACUCCCAGGAAGUGGAAGAGGGGUUUCAGUUGGAUCUUCCUCAGGUCCCUUGCAGGUUAAGGAUUCGAAGGAGAAAAUGGAAGCUGCACAGAGACCGCGCAGGAUGAGUGGAGCAUCUCACAAGUCGGUAGGGAAAAUGGAGUGUAUAAUCUGUGGUUGGUCAUGUGAUUGAACACAAAGGAGUUAGGGAAAGAUAUUUUUUGGCUGGUUUUGUACGGAUUGUUGCCGGAAGUUCAAUAAUAAUAAACUGAA